UCUAGUUUCGCCCAGUAUCUACCCAGAGCUAAUCCACCCCACACAAAGAGCAGAAAAUGGCUGCAAGUGCAUUUUCUUAAAGGGACAGUAGCAGUGUGGAGAUGGAGAGCAGGCGUAAACUAACCGUGACGUCACCCGUUGGUUUCAACGCCGAGAAAAUGAAGCCCGGAUUUUGCUACUUCCUGGUCGCCGUUUUGGAUUUUUUGGAGCCAGUGACUUAAAAAGCGUCAUCAAACAGACUGGACCGGAGAGCAACUAGGGGCAGGAUUGGCUGAGGACUCUCUUAUCCCGCCCACAUUUUACCGCAGAGGCUUCUGUUGCUGUCCAUCAAGUAUAGCCACGCCCCCUGGCUCCGCCAACUUUAACAAUUUAUUUAAAAUUCAGUAUUGAUUUAUUUUAAGAUCGGCCACCUGAUCUCUCAUUUUGACCAUGAAAACUAACGGGGAAAAAAAUCCUGAGCUGUAGAAAAUCAGUCUAUCAAAUUUUAUUUUCUCCAAAAAUGAAUUGGGGUCUAUGGAGAAAAAGCUUCUUGGAGCCAACCCUAGCGGACGGCGUGAUAUUGCAAGUUUUUGACACUUCCGGGUUGGCUUCAAUUCUGGAGCCAGAUGCUACGUCCACUAUAUAUACAGUCUAUGCCGCCGAGCAGAAAGUUUGGUUGUUUGACUAAUUUCCUGACUGAAAUGACAGAGGAGAAUGAUAAACCGGAGCCAGAGUCAUCAUGAAAAUGUCACGAGUGUACCUAUUUCCCCCAAUUAAAAGUUGGCUUUCAACCAUUUUGAGAUGAAUACUUGUCAAAAGACAGCUUCUAUGUGUCAAGGUGGAUUUGAAAUCUUAUUUAUUUAACAUUCCUGGUUCUUGUGACUUCAAUAAACUUUUCAGUUUUUGAAAAGAAA